rnacentral:lncRNA from 1 species
UGAAAUCAAGGUAAGAUAAACAACAGGCACUUGUUUUCCAGUUCAAGAGAAUUCCUUUGCUUUAUAUUAUACAAGGAUACAAGAGUAAAGGUUAUAACUUACAUAAAUCCCAAUUUCAGUGUGCCGCUUGUAAAAUCAACAGAUCUAGUGAAACAAAUAAGGGCAACCAAAUAAUUUUCGGAAAGUUGAAACUUAGAUCCCUAAGUAGUCCAACAGUGGCGCUAGAUAUUGAGUGCCUGACAACUUACUAGUUCGGAAGAUCCGGUCGUCCUUGUGGCAAUAACCCUCCAAAGAUCCGUUUCAAAUGCUGUUGCAGGUUCUGCAGACUCGGGAUGUGCACCAGGUGAGCUAUCCAAUGAAUGGUUUUGCACAUCAGCCUGCAAGACUGAAAUAUUGUUGUUGGCAUCUUUAGUGAUCACAUGAAGCUUUCCCAGUAAACCAGAAAGUAAAUAGGGAAAAUCUGAAUCAGUAAAGUCAGGAAUGGGGACCUCUCCCACUACAACUUUCCAUGCAUCAUCUUGGUAAUCAUAUACCUUAAUCCUCACACUUUCAGGAGAAUUAGAUGGAUCGAGUGCAUACAGCUCACCAUCCACGGUGACACUCAAUUUUGUUCCUGCCUGUCUUGCAGGCCAACCAUCACCCAUGCCAGCUGGCAUUUCAACCCAAGAAUUUACAUCGGGAUCAUAUACCUCCCCUCCAACAUCAACAAAAAAUGGCCAGCAAUAUAAACUUUGAGGCACAAAUAACCUUCCCCUA